rnacentral:rRNA from 1 species
CCUACGGGAGGCUGCAGUGAGGAAUAUUGGUCAAUGGGAGAGAUCCUGAACCAGCCAAGCCGCGUGAGGGAAGACGGCCCUAUGGGUUGUAAACCUCUUUUGUCGGAGAACAAAACCCGGGACGUGUCCCGGACUGCGUGUAUCCGAAGAAAAAGCAUCGGCUAACUCCGUGCCAGCAGCCGCGGUAAUACGGAGGAUGCGAGCGUUAUCCGGAUUUAUUGGGUUAAAAGGGUGCGUAGGCGGUCCGUUAAGUCAGCGGGAAAAUUGCGGGGCUCAACCCCGUCGAGCAGUUGAAACUGGCAGGCUAGAGUUGGCGAGAGGUACGCGGAAUGCGCGGUGUAGCGGUGAAAUGCGUAGAGAUCGCGCAGAACACCGAUGGCGAAGGCAGCGUACCGGCGACAGACUGACGCUGAGGCGCGAAAGCGUGGGGAGCGAACAGGAUUAGAUACCCUUGUAGUC